rnacentral:rRNA from 1 species
ACCUACGGGGGGCAGCAGUAGGGAAUCUUCCACAAUGGGCGAAAGCCUGAUGGAGCAACGCCGCGUGGGUGAAGAAGGUCUUCGGAUCGUAAAACCCUGUUGUUAGAGAAGAAAGUGCGUGAGAGUAACUGUUCACGUUUCGACGGUAUCUAACCAGAAGGCCACGGCUAACUACGUGCCAGCAGCCGCGGUAAUACGUAGGUGGCAAGCGUUAUCCAGAUUUAUUGGGCGUAAAGGGAACGCAGGCGGUCUUUUAAGUCUGAUGUGAAAGCCUUCGGCUUGACCGGAGUAGUGCAUUGGAAACU